UACGUAGGGGGCAAGCGUUAUCCGGAUUUACUGGGUGUAAAGGGAGCGUAGACGGCGAUGUAAGUCUGAAGUGAAAGCCCACGGCUCAACUGUGGGACUGCUUUGGAAACUAUAUAGCUAGAGUAUCGGAGGGGCAAGCGGAAUUCCUAGUGUAGCGGUGAAAUGCGUAGAUAUUAGGAGGAACACCGGAGGCGAAGGCGGCUUGCUGGACGAAGACUGACGUUGAGGCUCGAAGGCGUGGGGAGCAAACAGG
rnacentral:rRNA from 1 species